rnacentral:rRNA from 1 species
CCUACGGGGGGCAGCAGUAGGGAAUCUUGCGCAAUGGGCGAAAGCCUGACGCAGCCAUGCCGCGUGAAUGAUGAAGGUCUUAGGAUUGUAAAAUUCUUUCACCGGGGAAGAUAAUGACGGUACCCGGAGAAGAAGCCCCGGCUAACUUCGUGCCAGCAGCCGCGGUAAUACGAAGGGGGCUAGCGUUGCUCGGAAUUACUGGGCGUAAAGGGCGCGUAGGCGGAUAGUUUAGUCAGAGGUGAAAGCCCAGGGCUCAACCUUGGAACUGCCUUUGAUACUGGCUAUCUUGAGUUCGGGAGAGGUGAGUGGAAUGCCGAGUGUAGAGGUGAAAUUCGUAGAUAUUCGGCGGAACACCAGUGGCGAAGGCGACUCACUGGCCCGAUACUGACGCUGAGGCGCGAAAGCGUGGGGAGCAAACAGGAUUAGAUACCCCAGUAGUC